rnacentral:rRNA from 1 species
AUUGAACGCUGGCGGCAGGCCUAACACAUGCAAGUCGAGCGGAUGAAGGGAGCUUGCUCCUGGAUUCAGCGGCGGACGGGUGAGUAAUGCCUAGGAAUCUGCCUGGUAGUGGGGGAUAACGUCCGGAAACGGGCGCUAAUACCGCAUACGUCCUGAGGGAGAAAGUGGGGGAUCUUCGGACCUCACGCUAUCAGAUGAGCCUAGGUCGGAUUAGCUAGUUGGUGGGGUAAAGGCCUACCAAGGCGACGAUCCGUAACUGGUCUGAGAGGAUGAUCAGUCACACUGGAACUGAGACACGGUCCAGACUCCUACGGGAGGCAGCAGUGGGGAAUAUUGGACAAUGGGCGAAAGCCUGAUCCAGCCAUGCCGCGUGUGUGAAGAAGGUCUUCGGAUUGUAAAGCACUUUAAGUUGGGAGGAAGGGCAGUAAGUUAAUACCUUGCUGUUUUGACGUUACCAACAGAAUAGGCGCCGGCUAACUUCGUG